GACGAACGCUGGCGGCGUGCUUAACACAUGCAAGUCGAACGGAAAGGCCCUGCUUGCCGGGUACUCGAGUGGCGAACGGGUGAGUAACACGUGGGUGAUCUGCCCUGCACUUCGGGAUAAGCCUGGGAAACUGGGUCUAAUACCGGAUAGGAGCCAUUUUUAGUGUGAUGGUUGGAAAGUUUUUUCGGUGUAGGAUGAGCUCGCGGCCUAUCAGCUUGUUGGUGGGGUAAUGGCCUACCAAGGCGGCGACGGGUAGCCGGCCUGAGAGGGUGGACGGCCACAUUGGGACUGAGGUACGGCCCAGACGCCUACGGGAGGCAGCAGUGGGGAAUAUUGCACAAUGGGCGCAAGCCUGAUGCAGCGACGCCGCGUGGGGGAUGACGGCCUUCGGGUUGUAAACUCCUUUCGCUAGGGACGAAGCUUUUGUGACGGUACCUAGAUAAGAAGCACCGGCUAACUACGUG
rnacentral:rRNA from 1 species